AUGGGGCUACUCAUUGAGCCUCUCUUGCUCGCCAUCAUCUUCCUUGCAUGCUCUGCUGGUUCGGCCACUUCCAUGGCACCGGUUUCAUUGUCCACUUUUGAAACCUCCACCAGCAACACCACUGACCACCUUGCCCUUAUGUCAUUCAAGUCGUUCAUAAGGAGUGACCCGUCACAGGCCCUGGCGUCUUGGGGCACAGGCAACCUAUCUGUUCCGUUGUGCCGAUGGCGCGGCGUAACGUGCGGCGUUGUGGCGUUGGACCUCCCCGAGCUUGGCCUUCACGGCACCGUCGCUACCGAACUUGGUAACCUCACCUACUUGAGGCGUCUCCAUCUCCCCGGAAGCAACCUGCACGGCGUCCUACCGCCGGAGCUCGGCCGCCUUCCAGACCUCAGCCACCUGAACCUCUCCGACAACUCCUUCCAAGGGAGGAUUCCGGCGUCACUUUCGAACUGCACCCGUCUUGAGCGCCUUAUGCUCUUCAACAACAGCUUUCAAGGUGAUAUACCGCAGGAGCUCUGCUUGCUGCGUAAUCUCAAGGUACUCAAUCUUGGUACAAACACUCUUACAGGAAGUAUCCUGUCGGGAAUUGGGGGUCUCACGAACCUAAUAUUUCUCAACUUGGAAAUCAACAACCUUACUGGACAAAUCCCGCAGGAGAUAGGAGGUCUUGUUAAACUCGUUAAAGUUGGUCUAGGUAUGAAUCUGCUGACCGGCUCUAUCCCUGCCUCAUUUGGAAACCUUUCAUCCCUAUAUUUCCUUAGUUUAUAUUCAGCUCAGCUAACAGGAAGCAUACCACCCCUGCAAAAUCUUUCAUCUCUCGAGGUCCUCGAGUUAAGCAAAAACUACCUCAAGGGAAGCAUCCCGGCUUGGUUGGGAAAUCUCUCAUCUCUUGGAUUAAUUAAUUUUGAUGGAAACCACCUCACAGGACACAUCCCAUAUUCAUUAGGUAACCUUCCGUUGCUCCAUGUCCUUAGCGUUUCAAAUAACAACUUUUCAGGUCCCAUACCACAAUCACUUGGAAACCUUGGUGCCUUAAUAGGCCUUCAUCUAGAUCACAAUGAACUGGAAGGCCCUUUUCCUCUUUCACUACUCAACAUUUCCACUCUUGCGGUUCUAGACUUGCAAUAUAAUAAUCUUAGUGGAUCUAUCCCACAUAGCAUCGGCAAUAAGCUUCCAAAUAUACAACAACUUCUAACAAGUGUCAAUCAAUUUCAUGGAAUAAUUCCACCAUCCCUGUGCAAUGCCUCUAUGCUUCAAUGGAUCCAAGGAGUAAAUAACUUCUUUUCAGGAACUAUUCCAGAGUGUCUAGGAAUUCACCAAAAGGACUUGACAGUUGUGACUUUUGCAGAGAAUCAGCUUGAAACAAGUAAUGAUUAUGAUUGGGGCUUCAUAUCUAGCCUGACAAAUUGCAGUAGUUUGUUGUUAUUAGAUGUGGGAGACAACAAGCUAAGAGGUGAGCUACCAAAUACUGUUGGAAAUCUUUCCACACAGCUGCAGUAUUUCGUCACCAAUAUGAACUACAUAACUGGAAAAAUACCUGAAGGAAUAGGGAAUCUAGUUAACUUGGAAUUCAUUGAGAUGAACAACAACCUUUUUGAGGGCACAAUUCCGGCCUCAUUUGGUAAACUCAAGAAGCUGAAUCAGUUAUACCUCACAAACAACAAUCUUUCAGGAACCAUUCCCUUAAGUUUCGGCAAUCUUCAAAUGCUAACUGUACUUAGUCUUGGAGGCAAUGCACUCAGUGGACCAAUACCUCCCAAUCUAAGCAAUUGUCCUUUGGAAAAGUUGGAUCUCGAUUCUAACCAUCUCACUGGUUCAGUACCUAAAGAAAUAUUUUCCAUCUCUACGUUGUCUGAUUAUCUGCAUUUAGGACACAACUUUUUAACUGGCAGUAUAUCACCUGAAGUGGGAAAUCUAAAAAACCUUGCGUUCCUUGACAUAUCUAAUAAUAAGAUUUUUGGAGAGAUCCCAUCCUCCAUUGGUGACUGCCAGAGCCUGGAGUAUCUCAAUACAUCUGGAAACUACCUAGGAGGAAAAAUUCCACAGUCACUAGACCGGCUGACAGGUCUCCUGAUGCUUAAUCUUUCUCACAAUAACUUGUCUGGCAGCAUCCCUAAGUUUUUAGGGACCAUGAAAGGGCUUGCUACUUUGGAUCUCUCAUUCAACAACUUGGAUGGUGAAGUUCCAACCAGCGGCGUAUUUGCCAAUGCAACUUCUGCCUCAGUUGUGGGAAAUGCUGGGUUGUGUAACGGAAUCCCUCAACUGAAGUUGCCACCUUGCUCCAGCAGCACCACCAAGAUCCAAUCUCAGAAAGUUGUCAUCAUAAUCUCGAUAUGCGGUGCAGUUGUAUUUAUGGCAUUAGUAUUUGCAGUAUCUGCAUUUUACCAUAGGAGAAGAAAAAUGAAAUCAAACAUGCAAACAAUACUCAUCAAUGAACAAUAUAUGAGGGUUUCUUAUGCAGAACUAGUCGGCGCAACAAAUGGUUUUGCUUCCGAGAACCUCAUCGGAGCAGGAAGCUUCGGCUCAGUGUACAUGGGAACAAUGAGGAUCAAUGACCAGCAAGUAGUUGCCGCUGUGAAGGUGCUCAACCUCGCACAGCGUGGUGCAUCUCAAAGUUUUGUUGCGGAAUGUGAGACCUUGAGAUGUGUUCGACACAGGAAUCUUGUGAAGAUAUUAACAGUGUGCUCAAGUAUUGAUUAUCAAGGUCAUGACUUCAAGGCCCUUAUCUACGAGUUUCUGCCAAAUGGAAACUUGGACAAAUGGCUGCACCAACAACCAACGGAAGAUGGUGAAGAUAUGGGACUAGAUCUCCGGAUGAGACUGCAAAUUGCAAUUGAUGUAGCAUAUUCACUCGAGUAUCUUCACCAACAUAAGCCAGUGCCAAUUAUUCACUGUGAUCUUAAGCCUAGCAAUGUUCUCCUCGAUGGUGAAAUGGUUGCUCAUGUUGGCGAUUUUGGGCUCGCAAGGUUUCUGCAUCAAGAUUCAGACAUAUCAACUGGCUGGGCAUCAAUGAGAGGCACACUUGGCUAUGCUGCUCCAGAGUAUGGGCUGGGCAAUGAAGUCUCAAUCCAGGGUGAUGUGUACAGCUAUGGCAUACUAUUGCUGGAGAUGUUCACUGGGAAAAGGCCAACAGAAAGCAAAUUUGGAGAAGCCAUUGGCCUUCGCAAGUAUGUCCAAAUGGCAUUGGAAGGCAGAGCAGCUAAUGUCAUAGAUAGUUACUUACUACCAGAGAUAGAAGAUUGUGAAGGAAGCACUUCAGAGUCCGACUGGACAAGUAGAGACAUGAGCAUUGCUUGCAUCUCUUCGAUUAUGCACAUUGGAGUAUCCUGUUCAGCAGAGAUGCCAAUGGAUCGCUUGCAGAUUGGAAAUGCUCUGAAAGAGCUGCAGAAAAUAAGAGAAAAAUUUCACAAGGAGUUGCUCGGCGAAGGAGAGCCCAGCAAUUGA
rnacentral:rRNA from 1 species